rnacentral:lncRNA from 1 species
UAACGGUUCAGAAUAUGGAACAGGAAGUUCUAAAAUACAAAAGUUUGUUACCUAGGUUACAGCAUAAUUACAAAAAACAAGAUGACCUUAUUGUCACGACUUUGAAAGCCUCUAUCCUUCUCUCAAACUUAAGCCUACCUUUUAGCUUUCUACAGGUUCCUUCUCACCAAUACACCAGCAGCCCAAGACAUAGCCCCAUUUCUAAGGGAAAUAGCUGGUGUUAUAUGUCAUAAAUUAUUCUUCUGCUUUAAAGGAAGAUUUUACCAACAGAUCACUGGAGUACCAAUUGGAAGUCCAAUGGCUGGCUUACUAGCAGAAAUACUCUUGAAGCAAGUAGAACAUCUAAUCCUGCAAAAUUUGAACCAAAAUUAAAAUUUUACGUGGGAUAUGUAGAUGAUAUUUUUAUGUUACUGAACAUUGAUACUAAGAUUAACAAUUUUGAAGCUGCUUUUAGAUUCCCUUCAUACAGGCUAGUCUUAAGAAAAUCCCACAAGACCACAACACAGCUCACUUCCUGGACAUCAACAGGAAAUUAGAAAGGGAAACAUUAAAAACUGCAGUUUACUGCAAACCAUCGCACUAGCCAAUUGUAAUCCCUAGAUAGUCCCAGACUCUGUCCUAUAAGAGAGCAGCAGUUAGAUUGUUCUUCAAGAGAGCGUUCCUGUAUACGUCUGACCAACAAGACUUACAAGCUGAAAUAGAUUACAUUUAUAAUAUAGGCCUCCAAUAUAUGGAAAGGAUUUCUAAAAAAAUAUCUGCACUAAAAUCAAGCAAUCCCUAAAAAAGAACCUAAAGAUGGGUACAGAUUGGCCAAACUGCACCUGUAUUGUAACAGUGCAAUACAGGUUCACGGAAAAAACAACGCUAUGAACUCGUCACGCAUCUCCAGCGAACUGCU